ensembl:lncRNA
GAGAGAAAGUGAGAUCUCUAAACUGAACCAAACUAGCAAACAGUGAAAGGGUAAAGGUUUUAGGUAAAACUGGGGACUUAAUGUGGCUAAGGGAAUGGUACGUGCAAAGACUUGGAUGUGGGCAGAGCCUCUGAACAUCUGACAAACUCUGAGGGCUCCAUGGUUUGGAGUCUACAGUAGAAAGGAGAAAAGAAAUAGUAAAAGAUGGGGCUGGAGAGAAAGUAAAGCCAGCUCGUUAACCAUUUAUUAGGUGAAGGAGUUUGGACAUUAACCUGAUGUCAACGAGGAGCAAACAAUUCAGGACUGUUAAUCGGGGACCAUUAUGAAGCAUGAGAGGAGCAAGCACAGAAACUGAGUUGAGCGUCAUUGCAAGGUCAAUUAACUCCUUUGUUUCAACUCCUCUGUUUGGAGAAUGGCUCUCUCAUUGCUUGUCACUCAGCUUUCUCCCAUGAAAUAUAAUGAAGAAGGAAGUAGCACUGACAAAUUGAAAUUGAAUGGAACUGAGAAUUCAAGGAUCUAUGAUUUGCACCUGGUCCGCUAGUUAAAAUGAAUUUCUCUGUUAUUUGUUGGAGAGACUUAAGUACCACCUGUGAGAAAAGAAAGAAAAAAGGUCAAAUAACAGAAGUAAAGCAAAGAAUAUUUAAAUUGGGACAUAGAAAGAAGACGAUUUUGGAAAGAAAAAAAAGAGUGUGGGGGAGAAGUUGAGAAGGAACGUCAGCACAUCCUGUAAUUCAAGAGGGAGAGGAGAGAAUCUGCGACUUGUUUUUCCUCUUGUAGGCAAAUUACAGUAAAACUUGAAACUAAGAAGUAAGGUGUGGAAAAAGCUGGCAGUGUAAGUGUGUGAAAAGGUAGAAUAAGCUUAAAGAUGGUUUUCUUAUAACAGUUUGGCUACCUGUUGAUUCUCUUCUAACCAAAGAGGUGAAAAAGAUGAGUUGAGAAAAAAAGAUGCACACAGAGAGAGCAUGCAAGUCACCAGAACAUCUAAAGGCAGUCCUUAUCUGAAGACGUUCAGAGGGAAUGGCAGCGGUGGAUCCUUGGGUUAUUUGACAGCUUUGAAGAAACAAACUGGCCUGCUGUCAGUAUCCCCAUGGAGAGGAACUGAGGACAGCCUCUGACUAACAGUCAGGAAGAAAGAUCUUUCUCCAGCAAGAAGCAGCUCUUUCUAAAGUCCCAUCCUCAGAUGAGACUCUAACCCUGAUGGGCACAUUGAUUCCAGCUUUGUGAGAUCCUGAAGCAAAGGACCGAGGAACAGAAAAUUGAAAAGACGCCAUUGGAAAAUGGAGAAAAUGAAAAAAAUUAUGGAAAAACGUGGCCAGAUGUUGCUAUGCUUUGAUGAUCUAAGGGUCCAGCAGUGGAAGAACCAACCAGAUGUCCAGCUGCUUCGGAUCCUGACGAUGGGCGACACUAGGAAAAAAUAGCAUGAUGACUGACUGAACCUGAAAUUCCUAAACAAACAGUGCCUGCAGCCAAAGCUUCCAGAUAACGCUUUAUUGGAGGGAUUUAAUCCCAGGGAAAACGGAUUGAAAAAUUGGAAAGAAAGGCAGGGAAGAGCAAAUAUAACGUGGUGUGUUAACCAGCUGGCUACAGCUUCCCGAAAAACAUGUCUGCUUUCUCAGUCAAGUGUCAUGUCUCCAGAGACGUAUUAUGGAACCAUUGAGUUUCUGGUUGGCCCUUGUUUCCCUUCUCACUUGUUCAGUCAUCCCAAGGGGCACCGCCUCCCUGGCACUUCCGUGUUCUGUUGCAGCGUUUCCAGGCCCCCGCUGAAGAAGCCAGAGCUUCUGUGCGUGCAGUCUGGUCAGAGAAAGCACAGAAGGCUCUGUUGUCAGCUGGCACUGCCAGUGGGGGCUUCUAGUUCUGUGGCAGCUGGCAGCACUGCGGAAAGCAGCUGUGGCUAUUCGACUACUGGAGUGGCAUGAGACAACAGAAAGAUUGUCCUGGCCUAGAAGUAAGGCAAUUGGCUGAGGCCUGUCAGGAUGGCAGGUAAUCAUAUCUGGAAUAAAGAAUAAACUGAGUCUGGUGUAAUGAUACAACUCAAUCUGCUACCAAUUUACGCUCAAUGCAGAUCACUUUCAAAAUUGAAGGACAUAAUUCAGUGUAACUAAUUUUAAAAGGAAAAAUAAAGGUGUAGGAAGAGAGUUGGUGAAUAUUUGGGAGAGGAGGAAAGAGAAAAUAAAAAUGAACAUUUCAGAUAUCUUGCACUUGUGCUCAGAGUGAAAAUAUUUAUCAUUAUAUUUUGGACGCUGCAAUUUUUCUUCCCCUCUUUUCAAAUGGGGGCCAAGGAAUGUUCCCACAGAAGACGAAUCGGCUAAUCUCACAUCCAGGGGGAACUUUGGCUCAUAAUAUCCCAUGUUCACUUCCCUAUGUGUUAUUUUAUGUCCUACAGACUCAAGAAAUAGGCAGCUUUCACUGUGGGGACCACUUCCUCCUUCUCCUGCCCUGAUUUCUUUCUCGCUCUGCUGUCUCAAAAAAGAAAAUGAAAUAAACUAAAACAGGUACAAUUCCAUAGUUUGUUCUAUUGCUGAUAUCUCUCAAAUUAACAUAUCUUUUAAAAAAUAUUUUCUCUCUUUUUCUUGAUUUGUUUAAGUUUAUAUUGAGUAUAAUGCACAUAUAGAAAAAUGCACAAACCAGAAAUGUACAGCACCGUGAAUCAUCACAAAGCUAAGUAAAACCGAAGACAAAAAAUGAUACUGGCCUCCUGAUAUGGCCCCUGUCAAUCAUUAAUGCUCCUCCACUUUAUAAUUAUAAGUAAUAUAAUAAAGGAAUAAUAUAAUAAAUUUUUUUUAUAUAUUUAUACUAUAUAUGUAUAUAUAAAAGUAUUCAUCAUAAUCCUAGGUUCUAUCACUGUGGAUCAUUUUUGCCAGGAUUGUCUCUUUAUUUGCAUAGAAUCACACCAUUUGCAUUCUUAGUGUCUGGCUUUCUUUACACAGAACUACGUUUGUCAAAUUCAUCUAUGUUUUGCAUGUGUAACUCAUGUGGAGAUAGUAGUCCUUACCAUAGAUAUAUAAUAUUCCAUUGUAUGAAAAUACCAUAAUUUAUAUAUCCAUCCUACGUUUGAUGAAUAUUGGGUGGUUAAGGUUUUUAAUUAUCAUGAAGAAUGCCAUUAUGAAGAAGCUAUACAUGUCAUUUCCUGCAUAUGUGUCUGCAAUUCUGUUGGAUAUAGCCCCAAGAAUAAAAUUUUGGGUUGACAGAGUAUGUAUAUUUUUUAAUUCAGAAGAAAAUGCCAAAGAAUUUCCCACAAUACUUGUAGCAAUUUACACUCUAACCAGAAGAGUAUGAGUUCCCACUGCUUUUGAUAAAACUUGACCUGCAGACUUUUUGGCCGUUUUGCUGCAAGUUUAGUGGUACCCAUAGAGUGGUUUCACAGUGUGAUUAUCUUGCUUUGAACCCAUUUUCGUAACUUUACUGGUCAAUUAGAUAUUCUGGGUUUUGAUGCGCCUCUUCAAGACUUUCCCCCAUUAUUCU